rnacentral:tRNA from 1 species
AGCCCUGUGGGGUAACGAGGUAAAACCCGCUGGGGUCUGGUCCCAGAGCAAGAGGUUCAAUUCCUCUCAGGGCUA